CUACCUGCAGUCGAGCGGAACGAGUUAUCUGAACCUUCGGGGGACGAUAACGGCGUCGAGCGGCGGACGGGUGAGUAAUGCCUAGGAAAUUGCCCUGAUGUGGGGGAUAACCAUUGGAAACGAUGGCUAAUACCGCAUGAUGCCUACGGGCCAAAGAGGGGGACCUUCGGGCCUCUCGCGUCAGGAUAUGCCUAGGUGGGAUUAGCUAGUUGGUGAGGUAAGGGCUCACCAAGGCGACGAUCCCUAGCUGGUCUGAGAGGAUGAUCAGCCACACUGGAACUGAGACACGGUCCAGACUCCUACGGGAGGCAGCAGUGGGGAAUAUUGCACAAUGGGCGCAAGCCUGAUGCAGCCAUGCCGCGUGUGUGAAGAAGGCCUUCGGGUUGUAAAGUACUUUCAGUCGUGAGGAAGGCGGUGUAGUUAAUAGCUGCAUCGUUUGACGUUAGCGACAGAAGAAGCACCGGCUAACUCCGUGCCAGCAGCCGCGGUAAUACGGAGGGUGCGAGCGUUAAUCGGAAUUACUGGGCGUAAAGCGCAUGCAGGUGGUUUGUUAAGUCAGAUGUGAAAGCCCGGGGCUCAACCUCGGAAUAGCAUUUGAAACUGGCAGACUAGAGUACUGUAGAGGGGGGUAGAAUUUCAGGUGUAGCGGUGAAAUGCGUAGAGAUCUGAAGGAAUACCGGUGGCGAAGGCGGCCCCCUGGACAGAUACUGACACUCAGAUGCGAAAGCGUGGGGAGCAAACAGGAUUAGAUACCCUGGUAGUCCACGCCGUAAACGAUGUCUACUUGGAGGUUGUGGCCUUGAGCCGUGGCUUUCGGAGCUAACGCGUUAAGUAGACCGCCUGGGGAGUACGGUCGCAAGAUUAAAACUCAAAUGAAUUGACGGGGGCCCGCACAAGCGGUGGAGCAUGUGGUUUAAUUCGAUGCAACGCGAAGAACCUUACCUACUCUUGACAUCCAGAGAACUUUCCAGAGAUGGAUUGGUGCCUUCGGGAACUCUGAAACAGGU
rnacentral:rRNA from 1 species